rnacentral:piRNA from 1 species
UGCUGCUUUGGGAUAGUGAGGUGUC